UACAGAGGUCCCAAGCGUUGUUCGGAUUUACUGGGCGUAAAGGGCGCGUAGGCGGCCAGCACAAGUCAGUUGUGAAAUCUCCGAGCUUAACUCGGAAAGGUCAACUGAUACUGUGCGGCUAGAGUGCAGAAGGGGCAACUGGAAUUCUUGGUGUAGCGGUGAAAUGCGUAGAUAUCAAGAGGAACACCUGCGGCGAAGGCGGGUUGCUGGGCUGACACUGACGCUGAGGCGCGAAAGCUAGGGGAGCGAACGGG
rnacentral:rRNA from 1 species